GACGAACGCUGGCGGCGUGCUUAACACAUGCAAGUCGAGCGGUAAGGCCCUUUCGGGGGUACACGAGCGGCGAACGGGUGAGUAACACGUGGGUGACCUGCCCUCAGCUCUGGGAUAAGCCUGGGAAACCGGGUCUAAUACUGGAUAUGACUCCAUGACGCAUGUUGUGGGGUGGAAAGCCUUGUGCGGCUGAGGAUGGGCCCGCGGCCUAUCAGCUUGUUGGUGGGGUGANGGCCUACCAAGGCGACGACGGGUAGCCGGCCUGAGAGGGCGACCGGCCACACUGGGACUGAGACACGGCCCAGACUCCUAC
rnacentral:rRNA from 1 species